AGUGAACGCUGGCGGUAGGCCUAACACAUGCAAGUCGAACGGCAGCACAGUAAGAGCUUGCUCUUACGGGUGGCGAGUGGCGGACGGGUGAGGAAUACAUCGGAAUCUACUUUUUCGUGGGGGAUAACGUAGGGAAACUUACGCGAAUACCGCAUACGACCUACGGGUGAAAGCAGGGGAUCUUCGGACCUUUCGCGAUUGAAUAAGCCGAUGUCGGAUUAGCUAGUUGGCGGGGUAAAGGCGCACCAAGGCGACGAUCCGUAGCUGGUCUGAGAGGAUGAUUAGCCACAUUGGAUCUGAGACACGGUCCAGACUCCUACGGGAGGCAGCAGUGGGGAAUAUUGGACGAUGGGCGCAAGCCUGAUCCAGCCAUACCGCGUGGGUGAAGAAGGACUUCGGCUUGUAAAGCCAUUUUGUUGGGAAAGAAAAGCAGCAGGUUAAUACCCCGCUGUUAUGACGGUACCCAAAGAAUAAGCUCCGGCUAACUCCGUG
rnacentral:rRNA from 1 species